rnacentral:rRNA from 1 species
AUUGAACGCUGGCGGCAUGCUUUACACAUGCAAGUCGAACGGCAGCGCGGGCUUCGGCCUGGCGGCGAGUGGCGAACGGGUGAGUAAUACAUCGGAACGUGCCCAGUUGUGGGGGAUAGCUCGGCGAAAGCCGGAUUAAUACCGCAUACGACCUGAGGGUGAAAGCGGGGGAUCUUCGGACCUCGCGCCCUUGGAGCGGCCGAUGGCAGAUUAGCUAGUUGGUGGGGUAAAGGCCUACCAAGGCGACGAUCUGUAGCUGGUCUGAGAGGACGACCAGCCACACUGGGACUGAGACACGGCCCAGACUCCUACGGGAGGCAGCAGUGGGGAAUUUUGGACAAUGGGCGAAAGCCUGAUCCAGCAAUGCCGCGUGUGUGAUGAAGGCCUUCGGGUUGUAAAGCACUUUUGGCGGGAACGAAAAGGACUGUGCCAAUACCACGGUGCGAUGACGGUACCCGCAGAAUAAGCACCGGCUAACUACGUG